GGAUAAUGCAAGUGUUUAACAGAUGCUUCACUAUUAAAAUAUUUUCCCCCCAAGUCUCAAAUAUUGAAGAAUCUCUAACCAGGCUCGAAACGCCGGUCUCAGUGGCUAUUGAGUUACCCACCAAGUUACCCCGGUUAGAGCUGUUUGGGGUGGCUCACGUUAUUGCGGCAAACUUUGGAGAUGACGGCUGAGUCCUCCGGGCGAACAUGUCAAGCCGAUUGUAAAUGCUGUUAUUUCCACAUCCUUCAGGGACACCAGUCCCUACGAAGACCUUGGGCGAUUUUGAAGUGCGGGCACCUCGAUUCCCCGAAUCUGUAGUGUGGCUGGUAUCGGUGUUCCCCUGGUUUAACUAGCCUGUUUGAAGGCACAGAUCAUUCAUGGGGAUGUAUAACCGAAACCAGUCCUCUCCACCGCCUGGGGAUCUUCACUUUCGCAGUCUACGACUGCCUGUGACUCCAGAAAGACAAACUGCAGAUUGGCCAAGCUGCCUGAAGACCCAGCCCGACAGCGAUGCCUGUCAGCCCGCGUCGCCCACCAGGGCAGCUGCUCUCCCAACUCGCAUGGGGGGCACCACCCCGCCUCGGUGCCCUAGAGCUGAGCGCAGCCGCGGCUCCACGGGGAUCGCCAGGGCCUCAGCCCUCGCGGCCGGCGGCGCGGGAGUGUUGCGGGGCAGGGACCAGAGCGCGAUCAGAGCGGCCACCCCCGAUUUAGGUCGCCAGCUUUCCAGUCACUGCGAUGGCCACUGGGGCGCCCCUUCCAUCCUGGUUAAAUUCUCAUUGUGAUCCCCAGCCCUCUUCUCGGUUCCCCACACCCAGGAGGCCGGUUCUCCGCCGCUCAGGCUGGGAGAGGUCACCGCUCCGGGCAGGGUGGACCCCCAGCUCCGUCUCGGAGGACCUUUCGCCGGAGGCGAGCAGGAAGGGGUUAACCAUGAGCCUCCCACCCUCACCUCCCAGACCCUGGUGCCGGGCUAAGGCCUCCGCUUCCCUCCUGAGGUCUCAUUAGGAAACCCUCACCGCUAUUUUCAACAUUUCCUCAAUCAAGUGCCUUUAAAUAGAGCUGCACAAACAGAUUGGCGGCAAAAGCGUAGAUCUUGUCACGAUUGAGACCAAUCCAGUAUUUCAGCCUUGUUUGCUUUGCAAUUACGGGUUGGCUUGUGGCUACGGUGCCACCGGGGCAAAUCUGCAGCCGCUCGCUUUCUCCUCUGCGCUCCGGGCGGGUGGAGGAAGCGACCCGCGGAGUCACUGCAGGGAGGAGAGGGGGACGCGCGCGGGGGGAGGCGGCGGAGGGCGGAGGAGACUCGCUUGCACCCCAGGGCCGCGGGCACGCAGAGCUGUGUUGAAGGACAUACUUUUCAGGUUCCUGACAGUCACUGAGCUAUACGC
rnacentral:lncRNA from 1 species